rnacentral:rRNA from 1 species
UACGUAGGGAGCAAGCGUUAUCCGGAUUUAUUGGGUGUAAAGGGUGCGUAGACGGGAUUACAAGUUGGUCGUGAAACCCCUCAGCUCAACUGAGGAACUGCAACCAAAACUAUAAUUCUUGAGUGCAGGAGAGGAAAGUGGAAUUCCUAGUGUAGCGGUGAAAUGCGUAGAUAUUAGGAAGAACACCGGUGGCGAAGGCGACUUUCUGGACUGUAACUGACGUUGAGGCACGAAAGUGUGGGGAGCAAACAGG